rnacentral:rRNA from 1 species
GUGCCAGCAGCCGCGGUAAUACGUAGGUGGCAAGCGUUGUCCGGAAUUAUUGGGCGUAAAGCGCGCGCAGGCGGUUUCUUAAGUCUGAUGUGAAAGCCCACGGCUCAACCGUGGAGGGUCAUUGGAAACUGGGAGACUUGAGUACAGAAGAGGAGAGUGGAAUUCCACGUGUAGCGGUGAAAUGCGUAGAGAUGUGGAGGAACACCAGUGGCGAAGGCGACUCUCUGGUCUGUAACUGACGCUGAGGCGCGAAAGCGUGGGGAGCGAACAGGAUUAGAUACCCUGGUAGUCC